AUUUAAAGGGUGUUGGUCAAUCAACAGAAUGUUAUUUUCUUAAGUGGGGAACUGCUAUUUGUCAUUUUUACUUUGCUGCUGCUGCUGCUGGACGACCUGCACCAGGUUUACCUCUAAUUCUAAACUCCCACUUCAUUAGAAAUAAAGCCAGUCUUCACAGAAACAUAAAGGACAUUUUUCUUCAAACCAAGACUCGUGAGCUAAAAGAGCAGUUGAGGAUGGUCUUACUUCUCCAUGUUCUGAAACCAUUUUAAACCAAAACAAAAAACAGACAACCUUGCAGGAAACUCAGAGUAAAUAAAUAGUCCUUGUCUGUUAAGUGAAAUUGUUCCUUAAGGUGGAGAGACUGAGACAGGAUCCGCCAGAAGAUUACACACUAUGUACAUUAAUAGCAAAAUCAGCUAGAAGAUUGAGAGUUUCUACCAUUAGGAAACAUACACAAAUACCAUCACACCCAGAAAAACCCAUCGAAGCUGUUUUGUCAAAAGUGUGCCUGAGAGGUUUCGCUCAUUUCUCUCUCUGCCUGCCCCCAGCCUCCUUGCGCUCCUUUACCCCUUUCUGUUACAAGAUCGCUCAAAUUGAAGCCCGGGAGGAUCCUAUAGGGAAUGCAUAGGAUCCCUGGGAGAAAAAAGCCCCAACAAGCUAUACACCAGAUGUAUAAUGUUAUAUGGUCAAACUGGCAAACACAAAAGCCGAAAAACAAAAGGCGUGAAUUAGGGAGAGGC
ensembl:lncRNA